UACGAAGGGAGCUAGCGUUGUUCGGAAUUACUGGGCGUAAAGCGCACGUAGGCGGAUUGCUAAGUCAGGGGUGAAAUCCCGGGGCUCAACCUCGGAACUGCCUUUGAUACUGACAAUCUCGAGUCCGAUAGAGGUGGGUGGGAUUCCUAGUGUAGAGGUGAAAUUCGUAGAUAUUAGGAAGAACACCGGUGGCGAAGGCGGCCCACUGGAUCGGUACUGACGCUGAGGUGCGAAAGCGUGGGGAGCAAACAGG
rnacentral:rRNA from 1 species